ACCUGCAAAAAAUGCGGGCAAUUUUUUUUCACAAGCUAUUACAACUCUUUAUUAUUUGUAUAUUAGUUUUUAUAACAAUGGUAAAAACCAGCGCUUACUUCAAUAUAUAACACUAAUCAUAUUAUUAUGUUGUAAAAAAGCAGUGAGUAGUGCUAAGAAAAAGAAUGUUAUUUGUCAUAGUGUUAAAGGGGACGCACGUGGUGACGUUGUUUGUAGUAACCGUAGUAGUAAGGCUGUUUGUAUUAAAGGCGGUGAUAAAUGUGAUGACUAUACAAAAGAAAUUACCUUUGCAACUAAUUUUGAAAAACCUUUUAAAGAAUAUUAUUUAAACGUAUCUUUGCACAUUUUUAUAACAUGUAUAGAUGCAUUCACAAAUAUAAUUAAGUGUAAUAUUUUAAAUUUUAAUCACCCUAAUAUAAACAACAUUAUCAUCUCCAAAUCGAAAAUUAUAAGGAAACAAAAAAAACAGCACAAAUAUUUAAAAAAAAAAAAAAAAAAAAUUGUUUAGCUAUAUUUAACUAUAUAUAUAUGAGUUAUUUAUUCAAAUAUAUUAUAAAAGCAAAAAAUAUAAAAUAUUUCUACAGUACUAGGAAAUCUGUAUUAAAUUUUAUUGAUCAUUUUAUUAUAUGGAAUACUAUUUUUACUUUAAAAUAUAAAUUUAAAAAUAAUUUAAAUAUAAACAAUAUUUUAAAUCUUUGUAUUUAUAUUAUUUAUACUGAUUAUGAUAUAGACGUCUUUUCAAUCAUUUAUAGUAUUGUCUUUUCUUUAAAAAAUUUUUUAACUUUAUGUGGAACCAAAAUUAAAAGGUUUAAUUAUUAUUUAAAUGAAUGUGACAAUUUACUGUUUCAAACUGUUAAUGAGUACAAAACUUAUGAUUAUACCUCAACACAUUUAUGGGAAGAAUACAUAUCUAAGACAGUAAGUUUCAAUUCUUUGGUGCAUACUCACACAGACUGCCCAGAGUGAUAGUGCAGAGGACAUACCUACUUACUUACCUACAUUUCCACCGACUUGUAAACACCCCAAUGUUAUGGAAUUUGUUU
rnacentral:lncRNA from 1 species